UACGUAGGGUGCAAGCGUUGUCCGGAAUUAUUGGGCGUAAAGAGCUCGUAGGCGGUUUGUCGCGUCGGCUGUGAAAACCUGGGGCUUAACUCCGGGCCUGCAGCCGAUACGGGCAGCUAGAGUUCGGCAGGGGAGACUGGAAUUCCUGGUGUAGCGGUGAAAUGCGCAGAUAUCAGGAGGAACACCGGUGGCGAAGGCGGAUCUCUGGGCCGAUACUGACGCUGAGGAGCGAAAGCGUGGGGAGCGAACAGG
rnacentral:rRNA from 1 species